GCCAGUGGAGAUAGCACGUUGAAUGUACCAGUUUCCAACGGAUCACUGAUGUUAAGCAAAGUUGGGUCUGAUUUGUAUCCGGUUAGGUGACCAUCUGACCUUUGGUGUUGUACUUC
rfam:Asian citrus Psyllid, Diaphorina citri - Florida Strain, whole genome shotgun sequence.